rnacentral:rRNA from 1 species
AGAGUUUGAUCCUGGCUCAGAAUCAACGCUGGCGGCGCGCCUAACACAUGCAAGUCGAACGAGAAAGUGGAGCAAUCCAUGAGUAAAGUGGCGUACGGGUGAGUAACACGUGGAUAACCUGCCCUUUAGUGGGGAAUACCGUUGGGAAACCGACGACAAUACCGCAUAAGCUCGAGAGAGGAAAGCAGCAAUGCGCUGAAGGAGGGGUCCGCGGCCGAUUAGCUAGUUGGUAGGGUAACGGCCUACCAAGGCUGUGAUCGGUAGCCGGCCUGAGAGGGCACACGGCCACACUGGCACUGAAACACGGGCCAGACUCCUACGGGAGGCAGCAGUGGGGAAUCUUGCACAAUGGGGGAAACCCUGAUGCAGCGACGCCGCGUGAGCGAUGAAGCCCUUCGGGGUGUAAAGCUCUUUCGGCAGG